rnacentral:lncRNA from 1 species
GGAGGUGACACAGAGGUGACACAUGGUGACAUAGAUGUGAUACAGGUGACAUAGAGGUGACACGGAGGUGACACGGGACGUCAGGUCCUCCACCCCAACCUCCUCUCAUUGGCCAACGUCAAGCAGAGGAGCCAUAGAGAUGGGGACGUGGUAUUGCCAUACAUGGAUACGUGGUGAGGUGGAGGUGACACAGAGGUGACAGGUGGUGACAUAGAUGCGAUACAGGUGACAUAGAGGUGACACGGAGGUGACACGGAGGUGACACGGGCCAUCAGGUCCUCCACCACAACCUCCUCUCAUUGGCCAACGUCAAGCAGAGGAGCCAUAGAGAUGGGGACGUGGUAUUGCCAUACAUGGAUACGUGGUGAGGUGGAGGUGACACAGAGGUGACAGGUGGUGACAUAGAUGCGAUACAGGUGACAUAGAGGUGACACGGAGGUGACACGGAGGUGACACGGGCCAUCAGGUCCUCCACCACAACCUCCUCUCAUUGGCCAACGUCAAGCAGAAGGCUCAUGGAGAUGGGAGCACGGUGUUGCCACACACAGACCCGUGGUGACACAACAGUCGGGUGACACCUCAGCGGGGGUGACAUGGUGGUGGUGACUCCGUGUGACACCCGCCCGUCCCCAACCCACCCUCCAGAUCUACUGCCAGAACCUGUGCCUGCUGGCCAAGCUCUUCCUGGACCACAAGACGCUCUACUUCGACGUGGAGCCCUUCGUCUUCUACCUGCUGACCGAGGUGGACCGCCAGGGGGCGCACAUCGUGGGCUACUUCUCCAAGGAGAAGGAGUCCCCCGAUGGGAACAACGUCGCCUGCAUCCUGACGCUGCCGCCGUACCAACGCCGCGGAUACGGGAAGUUCCUCAUCGCCUUCAGUUACGAGCUGUCCAAGCUGGAGAGCACCGUGGGAUCCCCCGAGAAGCCGCUGUCGGAUCUGGGCAAGCUGAGCUACCGCAGCUACUGGUCCUGGGUGCUGCUGGAGAUCCUCAGGGACUUCCGAGGCACGCUGUCCAUCAAGGACCUCAGCCAGAUGACCAGCAUCACGCAGACUGA